UGCAGGGCGGGGAGCGCUCGGGGGCCUCGCCAUCCCGGGUGGCAACGGCGCCUGGCGUGCCCGUCAUGUCCCUGGACGAGAGGAAAUCGGCCUCAAUUUUCUUGCCAAGCUAGCGGCAAAAUUUGGAGAUCUCACCUCUGUGGUCUGUGGAACGUGAGUCAGACUUUGCAUGUCCACAGCCACAUCCACCCCACUCUCUUCCUUCCUCACCAGACAGGCAGAAGGUGUGGCACUGCUGCGUCCUGACCCUGAGCGUGAUCUCACAGGCCCUGUGCUCUGGUCUCAGAGGUUCCCAAACAUCCGCGUUGUCCAAGAAGAGAUGUUUGCUCUUCCCCAUCUUGAGAUGCUAGGAUUCUGGAGUCCCAAGGGAAGGCCCUGCUCUUCCUGCCACAGCCCGAGAGAGGAGUGGAACCCUCUCCCAAGGUCUUCCCAGGAAUUCAAGGGCAGCUGCAGCCGCAGGCACGGGACAACGCGGGGAGAUGGGAUGUGUGGUAAAGGAGGGAUCCCUUGUCUCGCAGAGGGGCUGCGGGCAGAAAAAGCCGAGGGCACUGGGCUUCCUUAACCCGAGCUGCCCUUUUACCAUUUUACCGAGGACUAAACACGGAACUGUAACCUGGGCCUGCCAGCUCCCUGAGACCCGUGUGACUGCUAAGUUUGGACUGUGCUGAAAACUUUGUCGUCCCUUUGUCCCUCCAGAUCUUCUUGCCUUGGAGGGCUGACCUGAGCUAUCCCAUAUUAAAAUAUUUUUUGCUUUCUGGCUUCCACUUGCGUUCAUCCAAUGUGGA